CUGGUCAAAGGAGAAGAUGGUACCUGGCUUCAAUGCUGAGUACCAGUUCUUUGCUGCUCCCUUCAGAGUGGAUGGAAAAGCUUGGCACAGGAUGGCGUCUGGCACACCAUGGAGCAGCAUCAUUGUCCAGAAGGCCUCCAGGUGGUCAACCGGAUCCGAGGUCCCAUCGUAGCUUUCGAAUUGGGAGAGCUUGAAGUUUGGCGGGAUCGAUUCCUGCAUGAUUAUUUGAGAGAAAGGACGGUCAGUGCAGAUGUCCUCACCA
rnacentral:lncRNA from 1 species